UCAACAACGGAUCUCAUGGUUCUGGCAUCGAUGAAGAACGCAGCAAAAUGCGAUAAGUAAUGUGAAUUGCAGAAUUCAGGAAUCAUCGAAUCUUUGAACGCACAUUGCGCCCGCCAGUAUUCUGGCGGGCAUGCCUGUUCGAGCGUCAUUUCAACCCUCAAGCCCCCGGGUUUGGUGUUGGGGAUCGGCGAGCCCUUGCGGCAAGCCGGCCCCGAAAUCUAGUGGCGGUCUCGCUGCAGCUUCCAUUGCGUAGUAGUAAAACCCUCGCAACUGGUACGCGGCGCGGCCAAGCCGUUAAACCCCCAACUUCUGAAUGUGACCUCGGAUCAGGUAGG
rnacentral:rRNA from 1 species